rnacentral:lncRNA from 1 species
AAAUCUUCCUUGCUUGCAGAGACUUGACUUGUAGUCUUGUAAGAUUGGCUCAAAGACCAGAAAGAGACCGCAGCCAAUUCAGGAAGAACAAGUGCAUAAAGCUAACCCCUAACCAUAUUCUAGUACUAGUAUAUAUUAUAUAACAAGAGAAAGUCUUCAAGGCCUUUUUAUGAUGGGCGUUUACUCUACCUCAAAAGGAAAGGUAGAACUACAAGAAGCAAGAGUUCACUAUCGAGAAUAAAACAUCUCAUUCAGAGCUUUCCCUAAAGAAGAAAGACCACCUAUUUACUCAAGAGGUAGUGGAGGCCAACUAGCAAUUCCAGAAAAUGCAAUCUUUACAAGUAAGCAUUAAAAUCUUCUUGGGUUACUUGCUUAAAAUCUGACUAAGAAAGCGAACCCUUUUUCAUUUGAGUUUCCAGUCGGCAUUCUCAAGAAAAUACGGAAUACAUCGACUGCCGCGAAGGCGCUUACAAGAAGAAAAAAAUCCUCCUGCUGAAAGAAUCUCAAAAAGAAAGAAUCUCAUCUUGAGCCCGUAGUUAGGCUCUCGCAAUAUUCUUUGCACCUUCGGACUAUCCAUGUUGACUAUUACUUUCUAAGUCGCCUAGUAAAGGAAAAGGGCAAUUCGCCUUAACCUUAACAAAAGCAAGAAGGGGGAAGAGUCCUACAACUUCAGUCCCAUUCACUCCAGACACUACUGACUUACAAGGAUUAGUCGAUGAUUUCAGGGCAACAAGUCAAGCAUUAGGCUGAGAGGCGGAUACGGUUUUCCCCGCGGAUUAGACCAGCAUGACCUCAGGGAUGAAUGAACUACUGACGGACAGGAUGAAAGGUUUGACCCUCCGUGAACCCUUAUCCGAUAGGGGAAGGAGGCUAGACUAGGUAAAUUGAAUACCAGCUGGUUUAUCAUGAAAUAAGAUAAAGGCUGCACAUGAAAAGAAAGAGUGCGAAUUGGUUAAGAAGCACGAGUCGAAGGGUGAAUCCCUUAAUAGAAUAUCCCUGUUCGAGUUCGUAUUCAAGCUAAGUAGAUUUUCCGAUUGAGAAAAGACUAAAAGCAAAGCUCCAGAUGAGUUUCAUUGAGUUGUUAGCUAUGAGUAAGAAGUUCGAGUUGUUGAGUUUCUUCACUCUCCAACAUUCACAGGAGAUGUUCCGUAGGUGAAUUCCUUGGCUAGGGCAGUUCGGAAAGAAAGAAAAAGACGGAGAAGCUGGAUCAGCAGCAUAAGGAGGAGAAGCUGCAGAAGGAGAAAAAGAAGCGAGGUUCGUUCUCGUCUCUCCCGAAGGAUUCGAAUCCUAAAGCUUGCUUCCAGAAAGAAGAUAGGCCGAAUAUAAAGUACUCAUAGCCGGUCUUCAAGCAGAAAGAAAGCAGGAUGCCAAAUUCAAGAUUCAAUGGAAAGAAAAAGACUACGAACAUUCUAAUGGCGCGACAGGCGCAAAGAUCGUGGCCCACGUAGCGGUGCAAUAAGACAGGUCCGAAGGCGCCAUAAGACAGGUCCGAAGGACUAUCCAUUUGAGUUGCGUGAGUUGAACCGAUUCAUUCUUCAUUCAUUCAUUCACGCAUAUUUCAUUGCGCCUCCGUUAGGCGCAAAGAAUAUUGCGAGACCGCGUAGAAGGAGUCUUAUGAAACCUGGACCCUUCUUUUUAAAGAAGAAGAAGUCCUACGUCCUACGUCCGCAGUCCUACGUCCGCAGGAUUUAUCCGUAGUCCGGAGUCCGCAGUCCGCAGGAUUUAUCCGUAGGACUAUCCAUUAGAAGGAGGACUAUCCAUAUGGAAGUAGGACCAUCCAUAUGGAAGGAAGUAGUCCUACGUCCGCAGGAUUCUUAUCCGUAGUCCGGAGUCCGGAGUCCGCAGGGCCAAAGAAAGGUCCAGGUGAUUUAUCCGUAGGACCAUCCAUAUGGAGGGAAGUAGUCCGGAGUCCGGAGGAUUCUUAUCCGUAGGACUAUCCAUAUUCAGGAGCGGAAUCAAGAAUAGACCCGUCAGUAUCCGGACCAGAAACCAUAAGAAAACUCUGUUCAUUGAUUUUCCCUAGAUUUUGCUAAUGGACCAGUUGCAAUUUCCCGGCUUUUUUGCUUCUAAAUAGGACUUUUUCGACUUUUCUUAUCUAACGAAAAUAGAUCAAUUUUGACUGAUUUUUUGUCUUUUCUUGCUACUUUAUAGGCCCAAAACCUAGCAUUUCCCUCCGCGGAUUCAUCUGAAAUCUAGCACAAAGAUGUCUGAAAUCUUCAAUCUACCAGAUUCAUAAUUCUUCUUUCAUUAUCGUUAAUGAGUUCAUUAUUCAGCACUUUCUAUUUCUUUCUCCUAAUUUGUAAACUCGAAAUCUGAAAAGAGCCUUCGCUUCUUUAAUGGGAACGUUGUAAAGGGUAGAAAACUCCUACAAGAUCCAGUCCUACGUCCGCAGUCCGCAGUCCGGAGGAUUUAUCCGUAGUCCGGAGUCCGCAGGAUUCUUAUCCGUAGGACUAUCCAUAUGGAAGUAGGACCAUCCGUAAUUAACCGAAGUAGUCCGGAGUCCGGAGUCCGCAGGAUUUAUCCGUAGGACUAUCCAUUAGAAGUAGGACUAUCCAUAUGGAAGUAGGACCUUCCGUAAUUAACCGAAGUAGGACUAUCCGUAAUUAACCGAAGGAGUGGGCUGGAGCUUUUGUUUUUGGAGCUAAAGUGGGCGCAGCCCACGGAGCGGUUCAAAGAAUAUUGACAAGACUUCCAGGCGCAAAGAGCGAGGAGCAAAGAUCUAUGGCCCCCAAUUAUAAGGGGUCCAGAUGACUAUCCACUAGGGAAUAUUGCGUGAGAAUAGUCCUUCGCCUAGAAAUGCACUUUGCUCCUACUAUAUAGCUCCGGACGAGUCAGGCGCAUAUUGCGAGGUGCAAUUCCGUUAAUAUGGAUAAGUCCUUCGGACCUGUGAAAUCCACUUUUUCUAGUGAGAGGUGAGCGGCAGAUUCGCGAGCCUAGACUUGCACCAUAUUCUGAAUUUCUUCAGACCCUUUUCGAGGAAUGUUCGGGUUAACGACCGAUAAAAGCGUAGAUCGAAUCAUUCUGUCCUGAAUAAUCAGAAUUCAAGACCUCCCCGAUUUUAGAAGAGAAAAAAAAACCUCUAAGUCGAGCACAAGACCCCUUUAUUUAUGGAUGUUCAUUGAGCCUUGUGGAUCCCAAAAAAAAGAAAGCUUUAUCCCCUGAAAAGCCAAUUAUGAAAAAGAGUAGCAAGAAGAUGCUCCCAAGUGACCGGUGUCGGCCAGCCAAGCAGAUGUGAUUCUUUCUCUUCCUUUCCUAUUCUCACUGACAUUCAGGGCAAUAUUCUUUGCACCUUGCUCCAAAAACUCCAAGAGCACACUAGGCACCAAGUCGCAGUGACAACGCUUUCCAGCGGUAGUCCUCCGGUAAUCAAGCAAGAAGAAAAAAGCAUUCCUCGUCGCGGCGACUAGCUUCUCAAGUGGGUGGCUUGGUAAGCAAGAAGCUACCUUCAGCAUCGGUCAAAUCCCUAUCAAUAAAGAAAUAGGCCGGAAUGGUGGGGAAGGAGGCCCUCCCUACUGAAAUGGAAAGGGGGGAAUCGCCCAGCCCUUCUUCUAAAAACUACCUUUCGCCCAACAUGAUCACAAACGAAGACAGAGAAUUGCGUAGAUAGGAGGAGGAAACGAACCAACCCACUUGUCCUGAUCGGAACGAACGAUUGAAGAAAGAAAAGGGUGGCCCCUUUCGCCCAGGGGACAUCGUCGGAGAACAAUGUCGGGGACAGGGACCUUCCGUUGGUUACGCCCUUUAAGUCUUGGUUCUUCCAUAUUUAGAUAUGGAGAUAGAGAUCUAUCUCCUUCUAGAGAAAGAUAGAUAGGCAAAAUUUGAUUGAUCUGCUUUCAAGAUCUAUGAACAAUCAAUGAACAAAGACAUUUGAAAAAAGAGAUGUGAAUAAAUAGAUAGGGCGGAGCCAGCUGAAGGAAGGUCGCGUGAGCGCCCCUGCAAUCAAACUAAAGUAAGAAGCGCGAAACUUUACUUUGAGAAAGUUAUAUUAGAAUAUUAGUGCGCGUUAGCCUAUCUAUAGUAAUGGGCUUCUCAAAGGUUUAGGGGUGCGUAGAUUUGGAACCCUAUCCCAUGGGCUUUCUCUGAGAGGGGCUCGCUUCUUCAAGCGGAGCUUGCUGUCUACUAAACGAGCCUUCACUGCCCGCCCGGCCCCUAUCUUUAAUAAAAAGUAAAGUGAAGUCAAAUAAAAGAAAGCCCAACCUCUUUCUUUUAAGCUUUUCCAGAAAGCAACUACUUAUUAAAGCUUUGCUUCCCCUAAUUCCAAAGCACAAGAAUAGACUUGCAAGGUAUAGGAAAAAGCUUUUCUUUGAUAGCGGUCAGGGUUCAGAAAGGAUCUGAUCCUAUCUCGAGACUGAAAGCGGGGGUAGGGGCGGAUGUAGCCAAGUGGAUCAAGGCAGUGGAUUGUGAAUCCACCACGCGCGGGUUCAAUCCCCGUCGUUCGCCCAUCAAUAAAUGGACCAUUUCUUACGGAGACAGAAGAGAAAGCACCUAUCAAGCAUUUUUUCUGCAAGUCAUCUCGAGGCUUUCAAAGGCAUCCAAACAAUUGGUAUCCGAUUAAAAGCAUAGAUUCGCCUCGCCUACUUACUUCAAGCACAAAUGGAAUGGCUGAUCAUUUCUUGUAUUCAGUUUUUAAGACCUCACUAAUCAGCCAACCACUUUCAAGUUCAUAAUGAAUGAGUUUUUUAGUGGAAUAAGACUCGUCCUUCCGCCCUCCCUUUUACUAAACCAUGGGGAGCCCCGAGUAGUUUACCGGGCAAAUUGAGUUCUCGUGAGGAGUGGAAGAUCGGAAAUUUUCUGAAUCACGAGACUACAGGUCCGAAGGACUAUCCAUUAGGGAAGAGUAAGAGGCGCAAUGAAAUAUGCGUGAGAGCAAAGACAGGCUGAAUGAAUUGAGAUUGAAAUUCGGCACUUGCUUCCUUCGUCUUAAGUAAAGUGUUGUUGACUUUUUAGAUUUGGAACUCUUAGUCGAGGGCGAGAUCUAUUUUUUCUUCGAGACGAGAUAUCGGGGAGGAACCGCCGCCCAAUGGUGCUUUUACGAAAGUACGGUCCCUGGUGGCUAAUACCUUCUCUACACUAUCGAACCCUCAACAAUAUCCCUGUCUUAUGGCGCCUCAAUCGUUUAGAAAAGAUUUUUUUCGACUUAACUCAGGCAAAAAGUGCCCUAUCUGCCUUGUUGUUCUAGGGGGGUCUUUUUUUUCAAGUCAAGCUCCGUAUCCCUACCUCUUUUUAGGUUGGCAUAACAAAGAAAAAGAGUGUCAAGAAAGAACACAUACCCCAUCACUUUUUGAAGGUUCGGAAUCGUCAGGGAGCCCCUAUAGACGUCAAAACUUGACUUCACUGAACCGGCACUACUCUUUGUCGGCUCCUACCACUCGUCCCUCGUCUGCUUGUCGAGCGCGCCCUUGGCCCUUGCUCGUCUAUAGUAGCCGAUCGAGCUUCUUCGCCCCUCUCCCGCUUAUUGAUUAGGGCGAGUCACUCAAGUCCCUUGUCACUCGACUCUCUUUUCUUUUACGAAAAUCCCUGGGUUUUUGCCUUUUUCGUAAACUAAACUCGCUCGUCAAGAGAGGAGUUGCCUCACUACGAAAGGUGUCCCAUGGAUGGACGAGUUCCUAAACUACGAAAGAUAUGGAGCGGAUGGCGUACUGAUAGAUCUCCUAUUCGUUCUGGAUCCAGAUGAAACUUUUUUUGAUAUUAGUAAAGCGCUAACGCGCCCUGAAAACGAAAGUAAAGCAGCAAGCCCACUCCUCCUUCAGCAUAAUCUAAAAAUAGGGCAAUAUUCUUCUCAAAUUCUUUGAGCCCUCCCCCAGUGCAAAGAAUAUUGCGAAGACCGCUCCGAAGGAGUCUUAUGAAACCUGGACCCUUCUUUCCAUAUGGAUAGUCCUACUUCCUUCCAUAUGGAUGGUCCUACUUCCUUCCAUAUGGAUGGUCCUACUUCCAUAUGGAUAGUCCUACUUCUAAUGGAUAGUCCUCCGGAUAAAUCCUGCGGACUCCGGACCCUGGACCUUUCUUUGGCCCUGCGGACUGCUUCGGUUAAUUACGGAUGGUCCUACGGAUAAAUCCUCCGGACUACUUCCAUAUGGAUAGUCCUACUUCCUUCCAUAUGGAUGGUCCUACGGAUAAAUCCUGCGGACUCCGGAUAAAUCCUGCGGACUCCGGACUCCGGACUCUAAAAGAAAUUGCCAAGUUUGAAAGGCAAAAAGGAUCUCAGAUCAUUUGCUUAAGACAUGCAAGUCAGGAGUUCAGACUCCUUUUCGCAAAUUCUUUGCUCAUGAAAAGGCGAACUUUCAGUCGCUUCGAGACUUUGCUUUCUCAAAUUCUUUGACCCUCUUCUGAAUUGCUUUCAGACUCCUAACGGAGCGGUCGGACCUCUUUUUUCGGAAAAGAUGGAACUCAAACUAGUAGUGGGCUUUCUUCCUUUCGUCUUUCUAUCUUCCCCACGUAGCGGCUUUCGUACUUAUUUGAGGUUUCAUGUGGAUUAAGAGAAGAGGCUUUUCGAGUCACAAAGAGAGUAAAAACAUAGUUCUUCUUUGAGGCUACUGUCCUUAUCGGCUAGCCUUCCCCUUCCGGGUUGGCGGGGCAAUGAAAAGACUUUGAAAUAGAGAAAGAAGCCAAUAGAGUAGAAAGUCAAUGAACAAGGCGAUCAGAAUUUUCGAAGGACUUCGGACCGUAGGAGGCUCAAAGAAUAUUGCGAAGAGCUUUCCACUGAUUGGAUAUGAGACCUCUAGCGAGUGCCUCAGUUCAACUUCCUGGUGAGGUGAGAAAGGGGAUUGUACUUAUUGAAUCUACCCUCCCUAGUCCCGAGAACUCUUUUAUCUGACUCAGUCUCUUCUUUUCUCUCGGAUGAAUCCCAUGAAAGUUGACUCUUUUUCGAAAAAGAGUACUAAAUCAAAAGAGAAAGCCUAUCCUUCUUUCUCAACCUAAUAAAUACCGUAACGAGUUGACGCUCCGUGGGGUAGAGAGAAUUGCUUCUUGCAAGUUCGGUCUGCUUGGAAUAGGCCAAGGCCCUAAUACGAGUUCAAGGUACUAGAGUAGAAUGAAUUACCUAAAUCAGAACCUGGGUUAUCAGAAGCUCUCCAUUUCGAAGUUCGUAGCCUUCGCAUCUUUUUCUACUUUCAGUUUCUAGUCGGACCAAGUGGAAUCUUUGAUACAUUCUUAUAUGAGUCCGACCGAGGACCCGUCCUUCUUAGUUCAGUGAUUGAAUCUACCAUAUGAACUUCCUUUUAGUUUGAGUAGGUUUCAAAACAUAAGAGAGAAAGUUGGAUUGAGUUCCAUAAAUCAGUCGGGAAAUAGAGGGUGACUGAAUAAGGCGCGAAGCGAAAAGCAAGCUUCUAUCUUCUAUUUUGAUGCGUCUCAGCCAAGCGAAAAGUUGGAAUUCAGGCGCUUUCCUUUGGUACGAAUCGCUGGAGUUGGCAUUGAGAGUGGAAGUUGGAGAAGUCCCUUGCUGCCGUUGAAGACUCCUCGGGGAGUUACGCAGCUUGAAAGGAGCGAAGAGCUUGACCGAGCUGGGGGGUAUCGACUGGAUAGGAUCGUGAUGAUUCCCCUAGUUGAAGUGACCUAUCGGGCAGAGGUUAGAUAUAGUCCUCACUGUAUCGGAUUGAAUAUGCUUCUUUUGCUUUACCUAGUUUACAAGGGGAAGUAGCGUAGCGCGUAUGCUCAUUCUUCUUCUUUUUGUAGCAGUUGAACUUCUAUUCUGAAUCUCGUGAAUUCACUCAUUGUCAUAUUCCUUCCCAUGAAAAGGAGAAAAUUCUCUUUCCGCAGAGGUUGAGCUUGAUAGGGCUCGGAAUCAGUAGCUGGAAUUAAACUACCACGGACCGGCAUAGGCAGACAGGUUAGCUCCCCAAGAGGCAGGAGAUAGGCUCGACCAGUGAGUCAGAAGCAAAAGAGACUCAAGGUUCGGGUCGGCAAGUAGGGAGUAGCAGUUCUUCUUUCAGUUUCAGUAGCCUCAUCUCUUGAGUAAGGCAACUUGCCUCAAACUCCGGUAAAUUCAUAAGGCAUAGGAAGAAAAAGGCAAAGGUCAAGAGGCUCAAAGAAUAUUGAGGAUCAGACUACUCCCAGAACCCACUACGCGGUGAGGAUACAAAGGUUAGGACUCAUGAAAUUCCAUAUUCACUUUUCUUUGAUCCUUUUCUUUAUCCGUCCGAAGGACUAUCCAUAUUAACCUGUCUGUCCGGAGGACCUGUCUUAUGGCACAAAAGUCAAUCAAAGAAAAUCAGUUCAUUAACGAUAAUGAAAGAAGCUCAAAAAGAAUCUGCUAGAUUUCAGAUGAAUCCGCGGAGGGAAAUGCUAGGUUUUGGGCCUAUAAAGUAGCAAGAAAUCAAGUCAAAUGCCUUCUUUUUCUACUUUUAUCGUUAAAUAUCAAUCUUCGAUUUACUAUGAAAAAGAAGCAAAAAAGCCGGGAAAUAGCAAGGCAUUGUCCUAUUUGAUUUUCGAAAUUCACAUGGAUCAGUUCUAGUUUGAGUUUCUGGUCCGGAUACUGACAGGUCUAUUCUGUAUUCCGCGUAGGAGAAAGAAGACAAAGAAAGAUAUUGCUGGUCGGAAAAGAAAUGAACAUAGUUUUCUUAUAGUUUGAGUUUGUGGUCCGGAUACUGACAGGGAUAUUCUUGCCUUCUAAUGGAUAGUCCGGAGGCGCAAUAUGCGAAGGCGCAAAGAAUAUUGCGCGCUACUCUUAGCUUGAUUUUCAGCCAGCCAUACCCAAACCUUGCUUGCAGCUUGCUUGAGACUUGGACUUGGCUUACUAACUAUACCUGGUGCCUGACUCUCAUGGAAAAAGAAAGGAAGAGGAAAGAGAGGGUGCAAAGUCUAUCCCUCCCUAUAUAGUCUUUUCUAUCCAAUUGUGCUCUUUGAAGCUUUCCAUCGAUCAGUCCUGAAUGGGGUCCUAUCCCGCUUCACCAACUUCUUACUAAGCAAAGGUAGUCAGGUGAACUCUAGCAAAGACCUCUGAAAUGUCUCCGAGGACAGUAAUUUGGAUUUCUUCGGAUUCGUGAACCUAGGAUUAGCAUCGAAGGUUUCAUUCCAUUGCCCGACUCUCAUCGUAAUGAGGAGGUUGAAUCUCAAUCCUAGUCUUAUCCUUAAUCCCUUGCUGCUCAAAGCCUUAGAUUGAAUGCCGACUUUGGAUCAAACCUUUGGCAGAGCACUAAAAUCACUUCUAAUGGAUAGUCCUCCGGACUGGUCCUCCGGCGCAAAGCAUAUUGCGGCUUUAUUUGGAGGAAUUCCGUAGCAGCUAAUUGAUCUAUAUCUUCCUUAUCAAUGAUCUUUGCUCCUCAUCUGGAGCCUUUGUUUUUGUCGCAGCAAAGGCGCAAAGAAUAUUGCGUGAUGAUGAAGACGACUAGAAAUAAAGAAAGCACUACGCGGGAAGAACUGGAUAAGGUCAGAGUAUUCGUUCUUUCUGGGAAAUUACAAACCCUGGGUUCUGACUUGACUAUUGUACGUAAAGACUGGACCGAUCCCAAGAACAAGGGCAAGGCGCGGCACUCUUGACUCCAUUUCCGUUCCGAAAUCAUAGGUAGAAAGCAUAGGAUAAGAGUCUCAGACGGACUAAUUCGAUAGAGUUGCAAGGAUAUAGAAAGAUUUCUCGCUAGAUCAGACCAAGGGAGGGCAAUUCAAGGGCCACUGCUGCGACUGAAGGUGACACUAGCUAUCUCGGAUAGGAAAGAGAGGCUUGAUCGGUAACCACAGAUUUCAAGGUCUUUCUCCACUGUCUGAAAGAGCCAUUGAUUCACACUGCCCGCUAUAGCGAAGAGAGAGGGGCGGAGCCACUCGACCGAUAGGGAGAGGGUUUUGGUCUCUUCUUCCUAAAUAGAGAUUCAACCGGAGAUGGGCAAUUUGAUUAGCUAUCUUGCUAUAAGGGUGGAGCGUAUGAUAAGCGAGCGAUCAGGGCUAAGAAGGGAAAAGAGUCCUCUUGUUUUUGAGAGGUGGACCUUUAGGGCCCCUCCUUUGCCGGGUAGGGCGGGACAACGGAUAAAGAGUUAGAAGAGGUUGAGAGCUCCUAAUUGAGCUGCUAUCUGCUGCGUAAAUGGAUAGAAAGGCAUCCUAAGCAGGGCUGGCGGGAAAGUAGCACCUUGCUCAGGAUGAGAGGGCUCCUUAUGCCGGGAAGGGCAGUUGAAUGUGAGAUCUAUCCCCUUUAGUUUUGAGGGUUGGCCUGAUCAAAGUAAUCGGGGAUGUAGUAGCCCAAGCACCUACUGGGAGUAGCCUCGUCUUCGCUCAGUGAUGGAAUCCUUGAAUCCAGUACAUUCUGGGUCUCCACAAUGGCUUUGAAUUAUCUGCUCUCUUCUGGCUGGAUGGGUUUCCAAGGUCUUCGUUCGAAGGCUAAUCCCCCUAGUAGGAUAGUCGGACUGAUUUUUAUCCAUUUCAUUCUUGCGGUAUAUCGGUAUCCUAGGCUUUCCUAUUUGUUGUUGGGUAGGCUUUCCAUAACCUUUUCCGCCUAUCGAGCCUUUGUCCUUCAGUUUCUUUUCUUUCUGGGAGUCUGAUUCAGAAGGUUUUUUCUCUGCUUCUUUCUGUCUUUUAUGAGAAAUAGAGUAGAGAAAGAUCUCAUGAAAGAUCGCGGGAUCUCCAUCCACUCGCACGGGUAAGAGGUUCCGGAGCUCUAGAUCAGAAGAAAGGCGCAAAGAAUAUUGCGAAAGAGAGGUGAAGGGGCUGUAGCCCUUGCAGUCCUUGUUGGAGGCAUGAAGGACCAAGGCUUAAUUCAAAGGCUGAUUUAUGGUCCGAAGGCUAGGCGCAAAGUUCGGUUAAUUACGGAAAGUCCUCCGGACUACUUCGGUUAAUUACGGAUGGUCCUACUUCUGUUAAUUACGGAUGGUCCUACGGAUAAAUCCUCCGGACUACUUCCCUCCAUAUGGAUGGUCCUACUUCGGUUAAUUACGGAUGGUCCUACUUCACUCCGGACUUUCCGUAAUUAACCGAACUUUGCACCUCUCCAUUUCAUGCGCUUCGCGCCGGAGGACGACUGAAAGGUGCGAAGCAAAGAGCGCGAGACUAGAGAGGAGAGGCUCAAUGUAAUAUGAGUUGAGAAGCGCAUUUAUCUAAGAAAAGAAGAAAGGCUCUUUGAAUAUUGAGAAUAUUGCUGGAAGAUUUGCACUGGGGGAUAUUCUUGAGAAGACUCAAAAUAGCGGGACUUCUCUUUCUUCUCUUAAAUAAUAGUCUUUCUUAAUGAGGGGAAAAUGGGUCGAGCUGUUCGGGAAUUUCCAUAAAUGAGAUGAGAGAGUCUUCUUGAAUAUAAGGCAGGCCACAAGGAGAGCUACUGAAGACUGCUCCUCCUACUUCCGGCGCGCUGACCAAUACUGGGGAUUUCUGGUCUGACCCCGGCGGCUUUCUCUUUAUUCCUUUGAUUUGAUUGGGAUUUUUUAGGUUUUUUCUUUCAAGAAAGAAUAUUGCGUCUUUGCGCCUCCGACGGAGCAGCUCCAAAAAGCCUCUGCGGUCAGUCCUUCGGACCUGCUGACGAGUCUGAUUCCACUAAAAAAUGACUCAAUAUUCUGAGCAAUAUGCACCUACGCGCGGAUAUUAUCGGCUAUUUAACAGCUUUUUUCUCCAUAAUACUUUUUCAUUUAAGCUAUUUAAGAGUGGUUAUUAAGCGGCUUUUUUUCGGAAGGCAAAGAAUAUCUCUGUCUUAUUUAUGGGAGCCUCCGUAGCUUAAUAUGUCAUCUUGACCUUUCUCGUCCCUUCCUCUUUGAGCGCUCCGACGGAGCAAAGUUCUUUAUAGGAGGCGCAAAGCAUAUUGCUCAAUUUGAGAGAACUAAAAAACCGAAGGAGGCGCAAUGAAAUAUGCGUAGAAGAAUGAGUCUACCUUUCAAAAAGAAACCGCGGAGUGGGAAAUCGUGAAAAAUGGGCGAUUUGGCGUGCAAUCUUCCAUCUUUCCUAUGCCCCAAAGUCACUAACAAAGUGAUUCUCACUAAAAACAAGGGUCGGACAGGCAGAACACAACCAUCUGCAGCACUCAAGUCAACGGGUCUCGCUUAACUUGCACUCCUUCUAAGUCGCUUCGCGCCUCAUGGUCUCGUCUUCUCUUUGGUGGGCGUAUUGGGAUUCCUUUCCUUACUCGAACUUCUGAACAAUCUUUCUUUGGGUUAAUAUGGAUAGGACUGAGGACCAGUCAAUCAAUCAUCAAUAUCCCUGUCUCGCAAUAUUCUUUGCGCCUGGAAGUCUCGCAUAUUGAAUUGCGCCUUCGGUAAAAUCACUUUGCUCCGUCGGAGCGAUCCAACUGAAUGAAAUAAGUCGAGCUUCCUUAGGCGCGUCUCGUGGGAGGCCUAGCCGGAUACUUCUCUUUUACCUUUUUGAUGCAAGGACGACUACAGCCUUUACUUUACCUCGGGCGAGCAGAAAGCCAUAAUCCUUUUAGGACGGAUUCCUCUUCCUAAAGUCGAGUCAUUUCAUUCCUCUUCCCGCUACGUGGGGUCGACCCUUUCCCAUAUAGAUGGUGGUCAUUCAACUCAUCUGGAGCUUUUCUUUUUGUAGUCUUAGGCCGGGGCAAUAGAAAGUUCCCAUGCUGCUGUUGGGAACGUAGAGUUCGAGAUGAGCACUUAUUGAGAAUGGGGGGGAAUCUUUUUGAUCAUAUUUCUUAGUUAAGAAUCUAAGCUUAUCAAGAACAAGAGAAAGAAGAAAAGCAAGGAAAGACCCCCUACGGGAACGGCUGACGCUUUUGCCUUGAUCCUCUGCUGUUUUGGGAGUUUCCUUUGUCCCUGAACUCCGCCUUAUAAGAUUAGUCUUAGAGUGAGUUCAUCCCUUCCAUUAUACGAGUGAAUGAAGUGACCUUUUAAAGGCCUAAUAACCUUGAACUCGGUAGAAAGAAGGCAUCUUAUCUUUUUUCAUGCCUUUCCUUUUUGAUCGCCAUUCUCUUCUUUGUUCUUGUAUUUUCUGGGGAUCGUGGGGAUGGCAUGGGACGCCUCUUCGGAGGAGUUCUUCACUUAUCCGAAAUAAAUGGGUGAGGACGAGGAGGAAUCCCGCCUUUACCGCUACGUGGGAUCAACCGGCUGGGCCACCUGACUUUUUCCCUGUAAAAUAGUCCAUGGGUCGGAUCGUCCAAAAGAUGAUUCCCAGUGGUGAGACCUGAACUCGCAUCUCUCGCCCUUUGCUUACUUUACGCGCAUCAAUCGUUAAGAUUUGCUUUCUCUAACCCAGAGUGAGAACUAUCACUAGAUUCUUCAUCAAAAGUCUUGAGCGAGGACAUCAAGCAAUUGGGUCCAUUACACCUUUUUCACCUUCAAAGAUUUCUGGGUGGACAAUCAAUGUCUUUACUGGAAGGAAGAAGAUCAAAAACCCCAAAAAUAGGAGAGCGGAUUCGCACCCGGAGGGAGACAAGACGUCAUCACCAGAGAGGAAUGCUCUUGCUCAAUAGAGUUGACUCUGGUCGGAUUAGUUUAGGGAAUGAAGUUGCUCAUGAGUAAGGGAAUGAUAAGGAUAGGGUCCGGGUAGAACUACUACUUUAAUUGAGACUGUAUGAGACACCCCCUUUCUAUCCAUCCUGUAAUCUCCGAUAAAAGGUGCGAAUACUAUUCCUUAUAGAAGGUUCGGGCUGGCCCUUGCUAGGCAUAAAAGGGCGCCCACGGAGCGGGCGAGGUUGAAGUUUCAUAAGGAUAGGUUGAAUAAGCAGCAGUUGCUUUCCGUCUUCUAUGAUCUCUUUCAUUCCUUAUUCGAAAGAAGGCAAAGAAAGUGGAAAGGAAAUCCUGGGAUUGUAACCAUUGAGCUUGAACCAUGAUUUAGAGUGAAAGGUUAGGCUAUUUGCCUUGGGCAAGGAGAUCUAGCUAGAGAUCGCAAGAUCGAAGAAAAGCUUUCGCAUCCUCAACUACAGCAGCCACAACUACUGGAAGAAAAAGACUUUUUCAAGAACCACUUCUGCAAGUGCUCCAUUAGUUCUUUGCUUUCCUCUACUUUCGGAUUCUAUCAUAGCUUCAGAAAAGAAAAGGGCAAUAUUCUUUGCGCCUCCCCCCGUCCUCCGGACUAUCCGUAUUAACCUAGCCUUCGGACCUGUCUUAUGCAUCCUUACUCAAAUUUCAUUGAUCCUCUCCGCCCCGUGGGAGUCUGAAAUAUUCUUUGAACCUCUCCGGUCGAGCAGCGGCUUUGCACCGCUCCGUGGGCCUCUUUUCUUUCAUCUUCUUUGAAUCUCACCGGGAUAAAUCAGCCUAAGGAAAGAUGUCGUGGAUGGAAGAAUGGAAGUUGGAACGUCAAAUCAGCCAUUUGGCUAGUCAAAUGUGAGGUAAAAUCGUACUUUUGGAACCCACUCCGCCUACUAUUUGGAAGAAAGCCUAUCCUUCGAUGGGGUGAAAGCCUUCUUAUCCAGGUGGCUACUUACUAACCUCGUCGAGUUCUAGCCUCUCCCUUUCUUAAGAGUUGCUUCGCGCCUUGCUAUGGUCAACAAGUGUAUGCCUUUGCUCCCUUCCCUUCUCUGAAUAUCAGAUGUGCUGGUGAGGCCUUUGUACGUAAUGCUCUUUAUGGGCUUCUGCCGAUUCCCCGCUUCGCAAAUUCAAAGCUCCUAACGUCAAAUAAGAAGUAAUAGUAUUCAAAUCCCCCGUCCGAAGGACAGACGGGUUAAUAUGGAUAGUCCUUCGGACCUGUGGACAUCUACAUUGUUUUUAGUGGACAAAAGACAAAGUACUAUAUAGAAGGCGCAAAGAAUUUGCGAAGAAGGCGAGAAAAGAGGGAUAUUGUUGCGUGAGAAAGAAUUUUCUCUUUUUAUCCCCCCAGGUCCGAAGGACUAUCCAUUAGGGGAUCCCACGUAGCGGUGCAAAGAAUAUUGCGAGGCGCAAUGAAAUAUGCGUAGAAGAAUGAAUCUACCCUUUACCGCUAAAUAGGAGCAGCUUAAUAUGUGAGCGGUAGGCCUCUUCUUCCUUAGAUCGCCCCUGCCCGAGCAGGCUUGAUGGAUUGAUUGAUGAAAUCAUAUAUAGGACAAAAACUCCCAACGUAGACGAGGCACACAGUAAAGAGGGAAAGAGACCAAACUCACUCACGAAAAGGAAAGAUUGAAUGAAAGAGGGAAAGGUCUCAUCAUUCUCCCGAACGUACUCACUCGCCCGCCCAGGACAAAGAAGCUCGAGGCCCUUGUUCAUUGAGGCGGUUAUGGACUUGCUCGAGGUUGGAGUGAGGCAUAACCUCUUCUAUCCUAAUCGGCGCAUAAGGAAGAGACCAGGGGAAUUCAGAAAGAGAAGUGGCUUGGUGUCGGAACCCUUGGUCUUUUAGUCGUCAAGUUUCAUUCACAUUUUGAUGAUAGGUGCAAAGAAUAUUGCGAGACAGGGAGAGGGGCGAAGAGACUCGACCGUAGGGAGAGGGGCGAGAACUAUCUAUUCUUCCGCCAUACCCAAAACGUGAACACGGGAUUGGACGUGCUUUCUUGCUUAAACCCUUGCACAUGCUCAGGAUCGUCGGAUAAGGGAGGGGUAGAAGUAUUUACGGGGAGAAGGGAGUAAGUGCUCUCUAAAGGGCUGGUUCGAAGGACCGAUACGAAGCACUGCCUUGAGUCCGCCGCCGAUGUUGACGAUUGUAGAUGGGAGCUUUCCCUGACCUCUUAUUCAAGGAGAUUUCGUUUUCAUAUUUGACCGCCCUGAAUUUCCUUAUGUUAAGCCUUUUGACCUCGUAUUUGACUUCCGAAGAUUUGACUCCUUCUGCAUUCAAACUUCGUAUUCAAAAGAAGAAGGAGGCGCAAAGAAUUUGCGAAGAAGGCGCUUCUAAUGGAUAGUCCGGAGGACGGGGAAUGUGAGUUGCAGAAAGAAAAAGCAUGAACUAUCAGGUCGGAAGAGGUCCCAGGAGAAUAGGUUUCGUCAGAUCUUGAGAUAAGAAGAAAGGAUAGAAAAGCAACUCCACCAGGAUCGGGGAUAGGUUAGCCCAGCCGAAUGGGCCUAGUAGUAGUGAGGUAGGACUGAUUAAUACGAGAGCAAAGGUGCGAAGGUGCAAAGAAUAUUGCGAGAGGUUCGAAUACGAAGAGUCAGAAGUCCCAUUAUGAAUUCAAGACCGAAACCGUUAAGCAAAUGAGACCGAGGUGCAAAGAAUAUUGCGGAGAUGAAAUUGAGUUAGAAGAAAACUUGAAUCUCCCUGGCGAGAAGAAAGGAGACCUACGAAGCAAAGAAGCGGAGCGGUAGACUAAGAAGUCAAUAAUCAGUCAAAGGGCUGCACCGCUGGUCCCCAACCCAAAGACGGAUGCGCAUCGGCGAUCAUGGAAAGGAGCGAAGGCAGAGAAUACCCCCUUGCUAGGGCCAGAGCUGCUCGACUCUCAAUCUCAAGUCCUCCAAGGAUAAAGGCUAGGUCCUUUUCUCAUACCAAUAGGGGGCAUUCAAAAACCUUAGUUUAAUGGAAUGGCUAGUCAAGACCAGGGUAGACCCACACCAGGGAGAGGGCGAAUAGAGGCUGUCCGGCGACGAAGGUGUUCCAGCCAAAACAGCUACGUGGGGUUGAUCCUAGGGUCUUCUUCAGUCCGCUUGGACAGCUAGAAACUAUCUUCUUCAAGGAAGCGCUUGACUGAAACUAGAAAUGCUAUAAAUGGUGGAGUCGUCUUGUGCAGGUUCUAGGCCUGCCUUCCCCCAAGUUCAGGGGUUAGCCUCCCUUUUCAUUUCAUUCAGGGCAUCAUCCUCACGUGAGGCAAUCCAUGACUUGACUUAUAGUUCACAUUGAGCUCCCUCUCGUCCUCUAUUUGAUUGGGAGAGUGGUUCGCAACUAUCAGAUAUAGAUCUCUUCUUUCUUUCCAGAUCUUUUCUUUGUUUUGUCUGGAUGCCCUUUUCGGGCUCACUUCCUAAGAACCCAGCCCCCAAGAGGAAAUGGACAGGCAUUGAAAAAAGCCGAAGCGCUGGCAAAAACCUAGAUUCUAUCCAACCCACUCGUAGUGCCCUAGACCUGAGGGGUUAGGUUAAGGGAUUCAUUUUUCAAGUCAAAGAGGGCAGUCGCUGGGCCUUCUUUCUUUGAGUCACUCGCUCCGGGGAGAUCCUCUUUGGUAGGGAUGGGACUAAAGAGCUCUAAAGAGCGGCAACAGCUUAUCCGAAAAAAGCAGUUCUCUUAUCUUAUCGAAAAAGGUCUCGCUUUGUCUCCUGAAGUUCAAGUCAGAAAAUCAAUGAAGAAGUCGAUGCCCACGUAGCGGGAAAAGACGAAAGCAGGGAGACAAAGGCUCAAAGAAUUUGAGAUAGGCUUUCAGUAUUAUUUUGAGGUUCUAGAGGCGCAAUGAAAUAUGCGAAAGCAGGGAGCAUCAAAAUUCAUGUAUAGGGCUUUUUUUGGAAUGAAUGAUCCUACUUCUUUAUCAAGCUUAAGGAUAGGUCGUCCGGAGGACUUGUUUUUAUCCAUCUGAGCUGGUCAAAAUGCAACAAAAAAGAAGGGAAAACGCAAUAGAACCUACUAUUAUAUUAAGCCUAUCUGAUGCUUCUCUUUGCAUUCUGAGAAAAGAAAAAAUAAGGAGGCCUACGACUAAAAAAUACGGCUCGUCAUAACAUAAAAUCAAUGCUUUUAGUGAAAGGCAACUCAUAUUACAUUGAGCCUGCCGGAGAGGGAAGAACUGUUGUUGAGAGACAGGCGCAAAGAAUUUGCGAAGAAGGCGCAAUGAAAUAUGCGAGGCGCAAAGAAUAUUGCGAUAGCUCUGACUUUGAAAAUAGCUUAACCUGUGGAAUAAAGAAGUGAACUCAUUAUUAAAGAGAGAAUUUACGGGAUUGGUCUAAUCAAUAAAUAAAGAAUAGUCGCAAUAUGCGCCUUUCUUCUCUUCAAAUUCUUUGAUCCUUCUCACGGCAGCUAAGGAUAUUCUUUCUUCCCGCUCCGUGGGCUGACUUUGGGCCUCAGUAGCUUAAUUAAGAAAGUCAAAUCCCAUGAUUCCUCCUCUCCGCAAUAUUCUUUGCACCUUGCCUUUUUUCCUUCUUUAUAUUUCCGACCCCUUAUACAAAGGCUCCAUAAAGAAAUACGGAUUGGGAUUCACGGAUUGGAUUAUCAUUAAUAAGCAGUUCAGAUCUUGCUGCCCUUUUCGAGCUAGACCUCUAUCGAACUAAACCUUACUCAUUUCUAAUACUAAUACCGGGAGGGCACCGAUGUACAGGGGCUGAUUUUAGAAUUCCGAGUGCCGAGAACGGGGGCGUCAAAGAGAAGAGGUAUAUCCUUGCACGGCGACGAUACCCUUUUCUCGGUCCGAGCAUCCCACUCGGAUAAUGAGUCGGAUAAUUAUUGGUAAGCGAAUCCUGUUCGCGUUCUCGGCCGAGCAAAAGCUCCAUUGCCGAGCAAAACCGAAGGUGGCCAGCCGCAUAGUCUCUAAUUCAGAUCUGGAAUUACAUUCUACGUCCGACUGCCUUGUGUGAGAAGGAGGGGAGAUAUUUAUAAGUAACCGAUUCGGGAAAGGGUAACUUCAACCUUUACGGGCCUGGGGAAGGCCUGCCUACUAGUUUAGUUGGUCUAGAGCUAGUCUAGUAAGACUAAAUAGUAGGUGGUAGCCUUAGGGCCCCAAACGAGGUUAGGGAAAGUGACACAUUUGAAAAGUGAGAAAUCGCACUUUCCCGGUUACCGUCCACGCUAAGAUAGAAGAAGGCACUGCCCGUGUGGCUUCAACCUCUGCUGUGGGUCUUUCAAGACGAAAGACCAAGGCCUGAUCACAGCGGCCGUACACAUCCGUUAUUCUCUACCAAGGGAAAUGUCUACUAGAUGCGUAAAUCAGAUCGUGACAAGAUCUCAAGUUGCACCACAUCUCACUUAGGUCCAACCCUUGGUUCGGUUGGUGGCAUCGCGAAGUCAAGUGAAUUUCACAUCAAUUUUCUGAACCGGUAGAUCGGAUUGGUGGCGGUUAGUCAACCCCGAAAGAAGGGGAGUGAGAGAUGCGAUAAGGGUCAGGGGAUGACUUUGAAAGGUCACAUAAAAGUUCAGCGUCUCGAUAUUCACGCCGAUCGGGACCGGUCCUCCGGCAGGUCGCAAUAUUCUUUGCGCCUCGUUGCGCUCCUUGAUUCUUUUCCGCAAUAUUCUUUCCUCCUAACUACUAAUGGAAAGUCCUUCGGACUCCAUGAACUGUGAAAAUACGAUAUGAGAAUAGAUAGUUCUCGCUUGAGCUCUCUCUUACCUUUCUAGCUUCUCCAACUCGGGAAAGAUCUAAAUCAGGUCUAGCUUCCGAGACAGAGAAGAACGAUUUGAAACUUUCCAUCCAGCGCCUAUGUCAAAACCUAGUUCAAGAUCGAAUGAGCACUGAAAGUCUGACUCGAGUCAUUAUGUCUUUCUUAUCCGUUAUAUACUCCACAUUCUAGAAGUUCAUAAAGAAAGAAAGUGAACAAGAAAAUGGAAAGUCUCACUCUCAGAAAGUUAUCCAUCGCUUGAUACUAACCAUACCUUUACCGGCUUUCAUAAAAGCCAUUAUUAUAUUAUUUCUGGCCGUAGAAGGCAUCAAUCAUAUUUCAUGGAUCCUCCCUUGCCUUUUUCUACUUUCAGUUUCUAGUCGGCGUCGGACUCCCAUAAAGAAGAGAUUAGGCUUUCCUUUAUGUCUUCUUUUCCUUUGUCGGCUAAUAAGUUGAAUGAGAAAUUGAACUUUCAAGGCCGCCAGAUGGAAUCUACAGCCCUUGCACCCAUGAAACUCCUUUUCCUAAGCCACUCCUUCCCUUCUCGGUGGGUCAAGCCUUCUCACCGCCUCAAUGAAGAACCGCUGACUCUUCCCGGAGAAUGCUACAUCUCUUUCUUCCACAGCGACUCUACUGAAGAAAGAGCGGCUGCCACUGCCUCAAUGAACAAGGGUCUUCGCUUAGCCCCGAAUGAGGACUCAAUUUCGACUCCUUCUUCUCCGGAACGAUUUUGAUGCAAUUACUGAAUUUGAUAUCUUCCAUAACCUUUCUAGAGGCCGAGGGCUCGAUCUAGCUCAUUCCCGACGAAGCACGGAUCGAGCGGACGGACUCACGGAUGUGAAUACCUCGUCCUCCAUGGCUACCUUCUUAAAUGAGAAAUGCUACCUCCUUAGAAGAAGACCUCUGAUCCCUAGGCGAACCUUCCAAACCUAAAAAUAAUACGAAAGAAAGCCUUCUCACCUUUAUCUUAUCUUUCAGGGAGCCUAUUUGGGGCUAUGAGUAACCCCGCGACAGGUCAAUUCCCACGUAGCGGUAGGUUUUCCCCAUGGAAAUAUGAAAGUCUUGUUGUCAAAUCAUCCCCAGACAAAGAGCAAACUCACCCCUAGAGGUCGGACGGGCAAAGCCACGAGGAGUCUGACGAGAGGGAAGUAUCUACUCGUAUGAGUAAAGGCAGCGAUCAGUUCAGCAGAGGCCCAGGCGAGAGGCUCAGCUCAAGGAGAGGCAUCCCUUUCAGAACAAGCUGUAGCCCUCGAGUUCUUUAUUGAUUGAUGAGCAAUCUUGCUGAACUUUGCCUUCUUUAUUUAGAUCUGAAAUCAAAGGCUGAACUGAAUGUCCCCUACAGCAAGAAGGACCAACCUUCUACCCUACCCUAUUUACUGGAAUAUUCUCCCUGGGAUCAGGAUCAGAAGCGAGACCAGACCUCAAUGAACAAGGUGAGAAGGCUUUCUUCUUUUCUCCUUUCUUAAUAAUCGUGGGGUUGAUCAGAGCUAAGCUCGAGUGAGUUGUAGAGUGAGAGGAAAGGAAAAGGCUCGACUCGAGGAGGUCUUCUUAUCUUCUUUCUUGUUUCGGAGUUCACUCUAUUUGAACUCUCUUUACAUUCUGUUUAUACGUUUUUCGUGUACAAAAUGAAAGAGGGAGAUAGGCGCAAAGCUCAAAUACUUUGAUCCUUUGAACCUUUUAUUUGAAGCUGCUGGAGGCAAAAAAUUGCACAAGCUCAGUGGUCCACUUCUCGUUGAGGCGGCAUUAGGCAAUUCAGCUGGCAUAACAUCCUUUCAACUUUAUAGGAUAGGCAAGAUCUCUGAGGGCAGGUUCCUUGCUGGCUCGAGGACUCCUUCCUCCUUGAGGCAUGCUAGGAAGGUGGGCUGCGCCUUCUUGAAUCCCUUUGAGAGCUGCAUUGCUGAAAUUUGCCUUGCUUGAAGGCUAGACUCUCGUGCUAACGGAACCAUGGAAGGAUGGCCUUCUUCCAAGAUGCACAAACUCUUGCUGAAAGGAAUAGGUACUGCCUUUACUUGGUCUAAAAAUUCAAUGCCAAGAAGCACAAUGGGAUAAUCAUCCGUAGAACUCCGAAGUCAAUCUCUCCACUCCACUGCCCCAAGUUCACGCCACGAGCUACUCCGAAGAUGGAUUUAGGCCCUGAGUUUUUUACUGCCUUGAGCCAUCCAGGCUCCUUGAUCUAUUUUACGCCCAAAGGCUCAGCUUCCUUCUCCUCUCGAAAGUUGUUGGUAGCCCCUGUGUCCACCAUGGCUGUGUAGUUGCCUAGUUUGCCUUCUACAUAGAAGGGUCCCUUCCUUGCUGCCUUGGGCACUUCAACUUUGGCCUGUAUAGCAUGAAAAAUCGAACUUGAUCCCAUCUUCGUCUCCUCGUAGCGCCGAAAAUCCAGACUUCUCAAGAAUAUCCCCCAGUGCCGCAAAUUCUUUGCGCCUUGCACUCCUUUCUUCUUUUCUUAAAUAAAUGCGCUUCGUAGAUUAUGCUGAAGGAGGAGUGGGGUCCACAAUUGAAGGAUUUGAUGGGCUCCCCAUCCUUCUUCUUGUCCUUGCUCCUUGCUAGGACUGCCUCCUUUGCUUUUGCCUUUAUCGUAGCCUUUUCUGACUUGCCUCCCCCACUCUUUCCCUUGCCCUUCUCUUUGCUGGCUUUGGAAAACUCAGGCUUCUUGAACUCUAUCAAGGACUCAGCUACUGAAAUGGCUGUGGCAAGGUCCUGGACUCCGCGUCUCUGCCAAGUGCGCCGUGGCUUAAACUCAAUUUUCUUUGAGAAGCUACAAAGGCAAAGUCAAUCGCAAUCUGCUGCGCUAGUGAUGAUUGGGAAGUACUUGACCUUUUUCUUUUCUCCAACUCUCAUUGCAAGAGAAUCAACUGAAACUGGCUUGGCGGAUACUGCGGGCUUUCACCGCUAAUGAACCCGAAGGUACGGAGUAGAAUGCUUUCCCGCCUUAGAGUGUGCCAGUAGCUUUCUUCUCUCACUUCUUUCAGAUCAAUGAAGUUGAAAAGGAAUAGAGUAUACAAAGCUCUCACUCCAAGAACUCUCAUAGUUGUGAGCUUAACUACCUGUGCAAAGAGAAUCGAUGCCUUCUAUCUUAGAGUAAGCAAGGGCUAGAAAUCGAGGACCGCUACAGCGAUUCAAAAUUGACCAUUUCGAUCUAUCUCCUUCAACAGUCUAGGCCAUCGAUAGUCGGACUGAUUUAUGGAACUUAUCCCUCCAUAAUGGCGGAGAAGGUAGGAAACUUCAGCAAAGAAGCGGCUCGAGCAGAAAGCCUUUGUUCAGACAAGCUUGAUAAAGAAGUCCUUCGGUUCAAAAAACCAAAAUCAUAGUAUGAAUCUUUGAAUAGACAGGACAUUCUUUCUUUUUGUUUGGUCCUCCGCCUAAUUCAUAUGGGGAUCUGCCUCAUUCAUAUGGAUCAAAAUCAGUCCCACUAUUUCAAAAGAAAAAUAAUAGCUCUCUGAAUCUCUGGGUUAAUGUUAAUAUGGAUAGUCCUCCGGUCUCGCAAUAUUCUUUGCGCCUAACGGUCAAUGAAAUAUGAGAAGAUGACAUUCUUUAUUUAGCAAGGUUUCAUAUUGCUCAAAGAAGCGGAUAAGACAGAGGCAAAGAAUUUGCUGUUUUUACCGCGUAGUGGGUUACGGAGUGAAAUCAGCCAAUCGAGAAAAAGUGGAAUAAAAACCGCGUAGUGGGCUAGAGCUUGAUUUUUCUGGAGUCCUUUGGCCUUCCUCUCUUUUCUAGAAAGUCCACUAGUAGCUCCAUCGCUGAUAUUCCUCGCAUCUUCAUGCGCUGUGAGUCCUCCCACAGGUCCGGAGGAUUUAUCCGUAGGACUAUCCAUUAGGACUGAGGAUCAAAGAAUUUGAGAAGGAGAGAGUUGACGAAUUUCAUGUUCAAAGAGCCAAUAGGUGAAAAGAAUAUUGAAUCCGUGGGCUUCUCUACCUUUCCAAGAAAAUGGAAACCCAUUUGGAUGACUUAUCAGCCGAUCCGACCCGAGAAUGAAGGCCAAUCCCUCAUUUAUUAGGAAAAAUUCAGGCAAGGUGAAAUUCAAUAUGACGAAGCGAUAAAUAGUGGUUGAUCUUAGAAUAUAUAAGUGGUUUAUCAAGCUCUGCUCAAGAAAUAAGAAAAUAAUAUGAAAGUGGUUUAUCAAGUUCUUUUUUAUGACUGAAAUCUGCGAAUCUAAUAAGUUGAUAUUAGAAAGUAAUAAAGUGCCUUUAUCAAGCCCAGAAGAGCUUUAUAGUCUUUAUCUAGCUUAGGCCUCUUUCUUUACUCAAUCUAGCUUAGGCCUCUUUCUUUACUCAGGGCCACUGAAGACUGCUCAUACAGCCACAACUGCGACCGGAACUGCUGAGGACGAUUCCUUUGGCUUUCUUCCCCGCUUCGAUUGAUUCCCGGCUUAAAUAGGCGAGUCCUGACUACAUCGCAUCGGCUUAACAGAAUCGAAAUCCGAGUCCUGCUGAAAUGGUCCCUAUUAUCUUCUUAUGUAUCCUAAACCUCCUCAUAUGAUUAUCAGAGUUCCGAGAUGAGAACAGUUCUUGCAAUGACGGACUCACUCCCAAUCUACAAUAUCUUUCUUCUUUGCGCUGGAGGUCCUUCAAUGCCCACGUAGCGGGUUUUAGUUCCAUUAAUCAGUCCUCCGCGGGUAGAGUCCGACUAGAAAAAAAAUAAGUGGAAUGAAAAAAGAAAGAAUGUCUCUUCUCAAAUACUUUGAGCCGGAGUUAGGCGCAUAAUAUGGAUUUCAGACGUAGUAGGAGCGGUCCUCAGCCUUUAUUUGAGAAUAUUGCGUUUUGGAGGCGCAAAGAAUAUUGCGGCGGGAAGAAUGGAUAUUGUAGAGUACGUACAGUAUCCGAUCGGGGAGAAAGGAGGGAUCCCAACAAAAAAGGCUAGGGACAAACUAAACUAGGCGUAAGGACGUCGAGGUGGAGGCGAAAGGCUCAAGUGAGUUGUAGAGGCCCUUUGUUCAUUGAGGCGGUAUUCAGUCGGUAGAGGAGUAAGGCGACCACCCGCACCCGAGGGAGAGAGAUCCGUCAAUCUUCUUGUUGCGGAUGAAGCUCUUGCUUUUUCUUUUUCAGUUGCCGUCGGUUAGAGCUCUUUCAUUCUCGUAAAUCAAGUGGAAAGGAAUAGAUUGAAACCAUUGAGCGAUGCCUUUCAUGAGCAGGGAACCUUCCCGCUUGGACCAGGAUUUCGAGUUUCAAGCGCAAGACGAUUCUGGUCUUGUACAGAUUCCAGGGAUGGAUCCCGUCUUGUCGACUUUGUCCCGCAUAUAAGAAGAUAUGAAGAAGUGCGAAUAUUCUUUCAUCAGAUAAAAAAAGAUAUAAGUAGUAAUGAACAAGUGCUCAAGAUUAUUGAAUAAUCCGAUAUUCAUUUCUCAUAAGUAGUAUGAAAAGACUUUCUCAAGCUCUUCUAUAUAAUAAGAUAAGUUUCAAGCUCUGUGGUGGAUUUUCUAAUAAAUAAGUAGUAAUUCAAGCUCUUGGUUUUCAUUUGCUUAAGACAUUGAAUUCGGUCUAUGACCUAACCGGGAAAAUGGACAAAACCCACUACGCGCUUUUCAAUAUUCUUUCUCAAUCUUCUCUUCUUUGAGCCUUUGUCAUUGAGCAGAUUCAUUGAGGGAUUUUUGAGACAUUUUCCAUCUUUUCUCUCGGGUACAUUUGGGGAAGGCAAGAUUCAAUUCGGACACCGAUUCUGAGGGUGUGCUAGUCCCAUUCUGAACUAAAAGAACUCGAAUCGAGAACGUCCGUCUUCCAUAGAAAAGCCCUUUCCUUCUCCAUUCUCCAAUAACCCGGAGGCUAAAAAAAGUGCAGACUCGAGCUAAGCUUGAUAAAGUCCCAAAGGCCUCGCAAUAUUCUUUGCACCGCACCGUGGGGGAUAGUCAUCUGGACCCGGCCAUAGAUCUUUGCUCCUCGCAAUAUUCUUUGUCAAUAUUCUUUGAACCGUAGUGCCAAAGAAAGGUCCAGGGUCCGGAGUCCGCAGUGCCAAAGAAAGGUCCAGGGUCCGGAGUCCGCAGUCCGCAGGAUUUAUCCGGAGGACCAUCAAAGAAAGGUCCAGGUGAUUUA